AACGUUUACAAGUAUCACAUUGUUAUCUCAGUGUAACUCUCAUAUUAACUAUUAAUUAUUACUAUUUUAUUCAUAAUAAUAAAAUUAUUAAUUUUAAGUGCAUUUGGCACGUUAAUCAAACACGAGCUCCAACCAACAACGGCAUUUGUGUUGAAUUUAUUUUUUCAUAAAACUAAUAUUUUCGCUAUAAUCCUGGCCGUAAUUAUAACUUUAAAGUUUUUCAUCAUUAGUUCAAUUUAUAAGAGCAAUGCCAAAAAAACGCGAAGGGGCUGAUUUGAGCCGUAAUACAAGUAGGUCCAGAAGUAUGAAAGAUAAAAGAUCUCACGUGUGAGCAUGCAGCAAUUGCGUCAAGAACAAUCAGAAAACACACGAGCUGAGCGCAAUGAAGUUAUUCGUUUAGAACAACGACAAUCACGCCGUUUCACGGUUAAUAGACGUAGAACAAAUGAUCAACAACGUCAAAAGGGACAUCGUGUAUUUACACCUGAUUAAUUUUUGCGUCUAGCAUUCCAGUAUGAGCCCGAUAUUGAAUAGUAUGCUCAUUCAAAAGUUGUAAUUGGUGCUAUGGAUUAGGACAGUCUUCAUUGUCAUGCUCUCAAAUUCAAAAAUUAGCCACCUGGAAUGUGUUUUGCGUCAGGAAAAGUGCACCUACUUGAAAUUGAAACACCACCUGAACCAUUAAACGGUUUACUUAUCGGUACAGAUCCAGAUUCUAACGUAUUCCUGAAGUCAAUUCCAACAUUCAAUUCAUGCUUUCAAAAUACAUCGUUUGUAGCAACAGAAAUAGUUCGAAAUAUUAACAUUCAAAAUGAGAGGCAAAGUUUAUCAUAACAUGGGCUCAUUGCUGCCAAUGCCGAACGAACCACAUACAUUUUUACAAAUCUACUUCAUGGGCGUCGAGGAUUCCGGAAGCGCACUUGCCAAUCGCGUGAAUACACAUUGUGACUAUAAUAACCUUGAUUAAUUUUUUGCCAGGCGCAUCGUCAUCGACUUCAACGCUCUAUUGAGCGAGCACAAUGAAUUGUUGAAAAUAUUCAAAUCACACAUGCACAAAUUACAAAGCGAUAAUCACGCUAUUGUCAUUAAUACUGAUAAAACACCAGCUGAAGAACAUAUUCGCAGAUUCAACGUACCUCUUGUUGAAGACGUUGCUGGAAUCAUGGUUGGCGUUCUUACAGGUACACGAGAAAUUGUGAUUAAAUAAUAAUCCUCUGUUCAUUGCUGAUACACAUCGUUCAUAUGCCGCUCUCCAGUAUCCGCUAAUAUUCUGGAAGGGGCAAGACGGAUAUUGCAUAAACAUAAAACAACGAGAUCUCGUAUCAGGAGCUGAAAAAACAAGAACGUUAGCUCGAAAAAUUAUUAUGCGUACUGAUUAAUGAUUCGGCGCGGCCUGGACAACGUCAUUUUAUGAUGUAGUGGUUUUGUCAACAAUUCAUGGUCGACAUAUACGCAAAGAUAGAGGACGAACGACUACGAUUCUUACAAUAUAAUCAACUUACCGUGCGAUUCUGUAACUUGAGACAGUCUCAAGUCUCUAAAUUUGAGAUUUUAAGUUAGAGACAAUUUUUGAGACUUGAGAUGAUAUUGCUAUUCUGUAAGUGACAGUCACAAAAUCUAUUACAUUUCAUUAUUCAGAGAUGUUUUUACACUUGAAUGAAAAUAAAUAUGUCGAUAACAAAUAUUAAAUUUUCUAUAACAUAGUCAAAAAACAUAAUUAUCAAUGAAAAUAAAAAGAAAAGUUGAC